UCAACUCGGAGGCCUAUCUCAAGAGCCUGGAGGAGGGAGUGCUGCCCUGGGUCGAGAGGGUGGCUGCUGGAAGACCCUAGGUCUGGCAACAGGACUCUGCACCAUGCCACACAAGCAGGAGAAGCCAAUCAUGACUGUCAGACAAUUUCUGCAACCACAUCAUCCAUAACACCUAGCUACCUAACUCCUCAGACUGCAACCUCCUUAAUUAUUGUGUGAGGUGCAAUUGAGUGA